GGACGAACGCUGGCGGCGUGCCUAAUACAUGCAAGUCGUGCGGACCUUGUUGACAGCUUGCUUUUAAAAGGUUAGCGGCGGACGGGUGAGUAACACGUGGGCAACCUGCCUGUAAGACUGGGAUAACGCCGGGAAACCGGGGCUAAUACCAGACCGUUUUUUCCUCCGCAUGGAGGAAAAAGGAAAGGCGGCUUCGGCUGCCACUUACAGAUGGGCCCGCGGCGCAUUAGCUAGUUGGCGGGGUAAUGGCCCACCAAGGCAACGACGCGUAGCCGACCUGAGAGGGUGAUCGGCCACAUUGGGACUGAGACACGGCCCAAACUCCUACGGGAGGCAGCAGUAGGGAAUCUUCCGCAAUGGACGAAAGUCUGACGGAGCAACGCCGCGUGAGGGAAGAAGGCCGUCGGGUCGUAAAACUCGGUUGCCGGGGAAGAACAAGGGCCGUUCGAACAGGGCGGCGACUUGACGGUACCCGGCCAGAAAGCCACGGCUAACUACGUG
rnacentral:rRNA from 1 species